rnacentral:rRNA from 1 species
GACGAACGCUGGCGGCGUGCUUAACACAUGCAAGUCGAGCGGAGCGGCGAACGGGUGAGUAACGCGUGAGUAACUCCCCCCCUCUCUCGGAUAACAGUUGGAAACGGCUGCUAAUACCGGAUAGUGUGGGAUGCCUCGCGUCCUAUCAGCUUGUUGGUGGGGUAGUGGCCUACCAAGGCGACGACGGGUAGCCGGCCUGCGAGGGCGACCGGCCACAGUGGGCUGAGAUACGGCCCGAACUCCUACGGGAGGCAGCAGUGGGGAAUAUUGCACAAUGGGGGAAACCCUGAUGCAGCAACGCGCGUGCGGGAUGACGGCCUUCGGGUUGUAAACCGCUUUCAGCCAUGACGCGGUAGUGGCAGAAGAAGCACCGGCUAACUACGUGCCAGCAGCCGCGGUAAUUC